UGCGGGGUCGUCUAACGGCAAGACGCCUGCCUCUGGAGCAGGUUAUCGGGGUUCGAAUCCCUGCCCCGCAGCC
rnacentral:tRNA from 1 species